rnacentral:rRNA from 1 species
UACGUAGGGUCCGAGCGUUGUCCGGAGUUACUGGGCGUAAAGCGCGCGCAGGCGGCCCGCGAGGUGUCACGUGAAAGCCCCGGGCUCAACUCGGGAGGGUCGUGGCAAACCGGCGGGCUUGAGGCCGGUAGAGGUGGGUGGAACUCCUGGUGGAGUGGUGAAAUGCGUAGAGAUCAGGAAGAACACCCGUGGCGAAGGCGGCCCACUGGGCCGGUGCUGACGCUGAGGCGCGAAGGCGUGGGGAGCGAACGGG